rnacentral:rRNA from 1 species
GUACGGGAGGCAGCAGUGGGGAAUCUUGGACAAUGGGCGCAAGCCUGAUCCAGCCAUGCCGCGUGAGUGAAGAAGGCCUUAGGGUUGUAAAACUCUUUCGCCGGAGAAGAUAAUGACGGUAUCCGGAGAAGAAGCCCCGGCUAACUUCGUGCCAGCAGCCGCGGUAAUACGAAGGGGGCUAGCGUUGUUCGGAAUUACUGGGCGUAAAGCGCACGUAGGCGGGUUUGUAAGUAGAGGGUGAAAUCCCAGGGCUCAACCCUGGAACUGCCUUCUAGACUGCAAGCCUGGAGGUCAGGAGAGGCGAGUGGAAUACCGAGUGUAGAGGUGAAAUUCGUAGAUAUUCGGUGGAACACCAGUGGCGAAGGCGACUCGCUGGACUGAUACUGACGCUGAGGUGCGAAAGCGUGGGGAGCAAACAGGAUUAGAUACCCCGGU